AAAGUGGAGACAACUUGUGAGGGCCCUAUGUACCAGCGGGGUACCCUGGGACUACAACAACAACAACAAACUUUUGGACAUUUAUAGAUUGUCACCGCUCUUUCUGGCAAUGUGGCCGAAGAACUCAAAUAUCCUCUUGAAGCAGAUGGUAGAGAGCCUGGUUUGGAUAUUGAGCUGUCUUAACAUGGAUGCGUUAGUCCGAUAUGCUGUCCACGGGAUUCGUAGCAUCUUCCUCCAGCACCACAUCUCGAAGGCAUCAAUGUGGUGGCGAUCAGCUGAUUUCAGUGGCUAUUUUAAAUUUAUACAAUACCGUAGUGGCUCUGGUAAAUGGCACAACUUUCCCCAUCUUUCACAGGUGCGACUUGACGUUACUUACAAAGAAAAGAAAGAGAUAUUUGACAGCAAAUUUACUCAGUGGAUGGAUCAUAAAAUGCUUCCAAAGUUCGCACACCGUAAAUGACGCUCUCCACAUUGACAUCCGAUUAUUAUUAUAGUCUUAGAUGCAGUGGUAUAUUUGUUAAAGACGAAAUAAUCUUUAAAUAAUGACAAGUGACAUCGAGCCAAUUGACUAACUUACACUUAAUUUUUACCUGGUCUUUUUAUCUCGUAUUUUUAUCUGGCCAUUAUGAAUAUUUGAUAGCGAUCUUCGGGCAAUAUGCUAAUUUAGAGAUGGUGGGUUAUGGGGAGAGAAAAUAACACAUGGACACAUUUUAUAGAUGUAGUUUUCCCAUAACUGUCAUUAACUGUUAUAUCUGUUUUAUAUAGUUAUAUUAUAUCUGUUAUGUCUGUUAUAUUUGUUUUAUCUGUUAUAACAAUUCGAGUUAACUAUAACGCUGAAAACCCUUGCCAAUCACGUCUAUGUUCUUAUACCUUAAUAAAAUACUUCUUAACACAAAAAAUAAAUAAAAAAAAACCUUGUAACGAAACAUUUGAAAA